UAUUUUUGUGUUUGGUGUUU
rnacentral:miRNA from 1 species